ensembl:lncRNA
CGGGCCUCAGCUCAAAUGCUACCUCCUCUCGGCCUCCCCCACGGUCAGAUCCUCCUGUGCUCUCCCUGCGCGGCCCAAAGCUCACUUGUGAUCAGGUGAGUCACUGCUGGUGAUGGGCUGCAGCUGUGAGGGCCGGGAGGGGGGGCAGUCAGGGCCUGCCGCACAUGCGCCUCUCUGCCGGCCUUGCAGCUGCUAGAGGGCCUGCGGGUGGUGGUGUGAAAUAGGAUUGAAGGGGAGCUGGCCUUGGAUUCUAGGAGGAGGAGAAGGAAAGAAAACGAAGGAAGAAGAAAGACAAAAGGGACUCCUGGGGCCUUCAGGAGGAGAAGAGCUGAGAAGCACUGGAGAUAAGUUGGCUCCGGCUCUUGGACCUUCGUCGUGUCUUGGAUCAGCUUUCCAUGUGGCGUUGGAGCCUGUCUGCACCUCUGGCUGGUGUCAGCGUAAAGAGCCCUGACUGAGACGUGGAAUGUGGCCGUCGCCUUCUGCUAUUUCCACCAGAAACCCACCGCAGAGGCUGAAAGUAAACAGCAUUAAGGGCUUCCCAGGUGGCUCAGUGGUAAAGAAUCUGCCUCCCAAUGCAGGAAAUGCUGGUUCAAUCCUUGAAUCGGGAAGAUCCCCCAGAGGAGGAAAUGGCAACCUACUCCAGUAUUCUUGCCUGGGAAAUUCCAUGGGCAGAGGAGGCUGGUGGGCAACGGUUCAUGGGGUCACCAAGAAUCCAACACGACUGAGCAUGCACAUACCACCAAGGCAUGUACAAACAGCACUAACAGCAGCAGCAGAUCUGGGGCCUAAUGGGAACUGUCUCCAACCUUACUGAACUACUGGGAAGGAGUCACUGUCUUCAGGGGUCUCUAUAUAGCCUGGAGUUUUCUGGGGCCAUCUUGUCUACCUCUUGAGAAACCCUACCUAACGAGGAGGGCCAAGACUGAGAAAGAGACUACUUCUCAGUGAUGUCAUUUGAGGUUCUAAAUUCUGCCAUACCUAGAUUCAUCCCUUGAGUUUUCCAAUGUUGUGUGCCCAGAGAUCUCCCUUUUCUUGUUUAAGCUAAUUUGAUACAAAAUUGAAUCAAUACAAGAGUGAAUGAAUCUUGACUAGUGAAGAAUUUCAACUAAAAAUGGGGUGUAUAAUAAAACAAGGAGGAAUGUCAUGGAAUCCACUGCAGAAAGCACAGCCAGAAACCAUAGGAAUGAAAAGGCUGCCUCUGACUCCACAUCUCUCGCUCCUGACCUCUCUCCCUGAAGCCACACAAUUUCCCAUUCCUGCUUUUUCUCUGCAUAUCUCCUUUUUUUCCCCCUCUGCAGAUAAGUGUUUCUGCUGACUCAUUAGCUCAUCUAGAAAAGGUCCCAGGACUGAUUAGUAUUGGCCCAGAUUUGGUCACAUGACCCUAAACCAUUAUUGUGAUUGGCCAAACAGGGGCCAUUACCUCUGGCUGGGUCCAGGCCCACCUAAACCAAAUAGACUAAGAGAGGGUGAAGAGUGGACUUAAAAAAAAAAAAAUCUAAGUACUGUUUUCAGAAUAAUGGAGACUGAAUGCCAAAUACUGCUCCGCCCCCUGACAAGUCUCUGUAUGGAGUUAAGUGAGUUUCUGUUUUACAAAUCAAUGGAGCCCUGAGUAAGCUCAGGGCCCGCCCCUUGUCCUAGAGGAACAGUUCUAAUGGAAGCUUUCACCUGUGACAGCAGCUUCUGGAGGGCUGGUUUCCCUUGGGCUUUCACUAAUCUCCAUUCAAAUCACACAUGAGCCAGAGGGGACUAGUUCUGACUCUAGCCCCAGCAGGAGGCCUUCCCUUGGCAUCACUGGAGUUUUAUAAAUGUCCCGUUACAUGGAAUCAUAAGGAGGCAGGGAGUCCAAGGAGAGAAGUCAGGGAGAGAGGAGGGGAUCAUAGAAGAGCUGGCCUCUGAGCAAGUCCUUCAAGGAUGGGCAGUAAGAACUUCUCAAUCCUGCAGUCGAGAAGACAAGUAGUUGCAAGUCUUGGCGAGGAUGUGGGGAACUUGGAGCCCUCACACACCGCUGAUGGAAAAGCAAAAUAGUGCACUCGCUUUGGAAAACAGCCUGGCAGGUCGUCAAAAAGUUGAACAUAGAGCUACUGUAUGACCCAGUCAUUCUACUCCUAGCUGUAUACCCAGGAGAAAUGAAAAUGUGUUCAUGUAGAAAUUUUACAUGAAUUUUCACAGCAGCAUUGUUCAUAAUGGCCCAAAAGAAGAAACAACCCAACUGUCUGCCAGCUGAUGAAUGGAUAAAUAAAAAUGUGGCUUGUCCGUACAGUGGGAUAUUAUUCCAUCAUAAGAGGAAAUAAAGUACUGAUAUCUGCUACAAUGUGAUUGAACCUUGAAAAUCUUAAGUGAAAGAAGCCAAGGGACUUCCCUGGUGGUCCCAACACAGGGGACCUGGGUUCUACUCCUGGUCAGGGGACUAUAUCCCACAGGCUGCAACCAAGAGUUCACAUGCUGCAAUGAAGAUCGAAAAUCUUGCAUGGGACAACUAAAAAACAGUCAAAUAAAUAAAUAAAAAUAAAAAAUAUGAAAAGAAG